ACUGAAUAGAUACCCUGGUAGUCCACGCCGUAAACGAUGAUCACUCGCUGUUGGCGAUACACAGUCAGCGGCUAAGCAAAAGCAUUAAGUGAUCCACCUGGGGAGUACGGCCGCAAGGCUGAAACUCAAAGGAAUUGACGGGGGCCCGCACAAGCGGAGGAACAUGUGGUUUAAUUCGAUGAUACGCGAGGAACCUUACCUGGGCUUAAAUGUAGAGUGCAUUGGUGAGAAAUCAUCAUUUUCUUCGGAACUCUCUGCAAGGUGCUGCAUGGUUGUCGUCAGCUCGUGCCGUGAGGUGUCGGGUUUAAGUCCCAUAACGAGCGCAACCCUUAUCGUUAGUUGCCAGCGGGUAAUGCCGGGGUACUCUAGCGAAACUGCCGGUGUAAACCGAGAGGAAGGUGGGGAUGACGUCAAAUCAGCACGGCCCUUAUGUCCAGGGCUACACACGUGUUACAAUGGCCGGUACAGAGGGCAGCUACCUGGAGACAGGAUGCGAAUCUCGAAAGCCGGUCUCAGUUCGGAUCGGA
rnacentral:rRNA from 1 species